GUCACGAUCAGGAAGGCUGAAAUCCAGAUCAUGCAUCGCAUCUGGAGCACGCUGGUUCGAGUCCAGCUCGUAACA
rnacentral:tRNA from 1 species